rnacentral:rRNA from 1 species
CCUACGGGUGGCAGCAGUGAGGAAUAUUGGUCAAUGGACGCAAGUCUGAACCAGCCAUGCCGCGUGCAGGAAGACGGCUCUAUGAGUUGUAAACUGCUUUUGUACGAGGGUAAACGCAGAUACGCGUAUCUGUCUGCAAGUAUCCUACGAAUAAUGAUCGGCUAACUCCGUGCCAGCAGCCGCGGUAAUACGGAGGAUUCAAGCGUUAUCCGGAUUUAUUGGGUUUAAAGGGUGCGUAGGCGGUCGGAUAAGUUAGAGGUGAAAUCCCGAGGCUCAACUUCGGAAUUGCCUCUGAUACUGUUCGGCUAGAGAGUAGUAGCGGUAGGCGGAAUGUAUGGUGUAGCGGUGAAAUGCUUAGAGAUCAUACAGAACACCGAUUGCGAAGGCAGCUUACCAAGCUACAUCUGACGUUGAGGCACGAAAGCGUGGGGAGCAAACAGGAUUAGAUACCCUUGUAGUC